rnacentral:rRNA from 1 species
CUACGGGGUGCUGCAGUGAGGAAUAUUGCACAAUGGGGGGAACCCUGAUGCAGCAACGCCGCGUGGAGGAUGACGCAUUUCGGUGUGUAAACUCCUUUUAUAUGUCAAGAAAAUGACGGUAGCAUAUGAAUAAGCACCGGCUAACUCCGUGCCAGCAGCCGCGGUAAUACGGAGGGUGCAAGCGUUACUCGGAAUCACUGGGCGUAAAGGACGCGUAGGCGGGUUGGAAAGUCAGGUGUGAGAUCCUACAGCUUAACUGUAGAACUGCACUUGAAACUUCUAAUCUAGAGUAUGGGAGGGGGAGAUGGAAUUAGUGGUGUAGGGGUAAAAUCCGUAGAUAUCACUAGGAAUACCUAAAGCGAAGGCGAUCUCCUGGAACAUUACUGACGCUAAGGCGUGAAAGCGUGGGGAGCAAACAGGAUUAGAUACCCUCGAGUC